GACCGGCCACAUUGGGACUGAGAUACGGCCCAGACUCCUACGGGAGGCAGCAGUGGGGAAUAUUGCACAAUGGGCGCAAGCCUGAUGCAGCGACGCCGCGUGAGGGAUGGAGGCCUUCGGGUUGUAAACCUCUUUUAUCGGGGAGCAAGCGAGAGUGAGUUUACCCGUUGAAUAAGCACCGGCUAACUACGUGCCAGCAGCCGCGGUAAUACGUAGGGUGCAAGCGUUAUCCGGAAUUAUUGGGCGUAAAGGGCUCGUAGGCGGUUCGUCGCGUCCGGUGUGAAAGUCCAUCGCUUAACGGUGGAUCUGCGCCGGGUACGGGCGGGCUGGAGUGCGGUAGGGGAGACUGGAAUUCCCGGUGUAACGGUGGAAUGUGUAGAUAUCGGGAAGAACACCAAUGGCGAAGGCAGGUCUCUGGGCCGUUACUGACGCUGAGGAGCGAAAGCGUGGGGAGCGAACAGGAUUAGAUACCCUGGUAGUCCACGCCGUAAACGGUGGAUGCUGGAUGUGGGGCCCGUUCCACGGGUUCCGUGUCGGAGCUAACGCGUUAAGCAUCCCGCCUGGGGAGUACGGCCGCAAGGCUAAAACUCAAAGAAAUUGACGGGGGCCCGCACAAGCGGCGGAGCAUGCGGAUUAAUUCGAUGCAACGCGAAGAACCUUACCUGGGCUUGACAUGUUCCCGACAGCCGUAGAGAUAUGGCCUCCCUUCGGGGCGGGUUCACAGGUGGUGCAUGGUCGUCGUCAGCUCGUGUCGUGAGAUGUUGGGUUAAGUCCCGCAACGAGCGCAACCCUCGCCCUGUGUUGCCAGCACGUCAUGGUGGGAACUCACGGGGGACCGCCGGGGUCAACUCGGAGGAAGGUGGGGAUGACGUCAGAUCAUCAUGCCCCUUACGUCCAGGGCUUCACGCAUGCUACAAUGGCCGGUACAACGGGAUGCGACACGGCGACGUGGAGCGGAUCCCUGAAAACCGGUCUCAGUUCGGAUUGGAGUCUGCAACCCGACUCCAUGAAGGCGGAGUCGCUAGUAAUCGCGGAUCAGCAACGCCGCGGUGAAUGCGUUCCCGGGCCUUGUACACACCGCCCGUCAAGUCAUGAAAGUGGGUAGCACCCGAAGCCGGUGGCCUAACCCUUUGUGGAUGGAGCCGUCUAAGGUGAGACUCGUGAUUGGGACUAAGUCGUAACAAGGUAGCCGUACCGGAAGGUGCGGCUG
rnacentral:rRNA from 1 species